GAACGCUGGCGGCGUGCUUAACACAUGCAAGUCGAACGUGAUUUUUGUGGAAAGCCCUUCGGGGACGGAAGUGAAAUGAAAGUGGCGAACGGGUGAGUAACACGUGAGCAACUUACCUUACACAGGGGGAUAGCCGUUGGAAACGACGAUUAAUACCGCAUGAGACCACAAAGCCACAUGGCUUAGGGGUAAAAGAUUUAUCGGUGUAAGAUGGGCUCGCGUCUGAUUAGCUAGUUGGAAGGGUAAAGGCCUACCAAGGCAACGAUCAGUAGCCGGUCUGAGAGGAUGAACGGCCACAUUGGAACUGAGACACGGUCCAAACUCCUACGGGAGGCAGCAGUGGGGAAUAUUGCACAAUGGGGGGAACCCUGAUGCAGCGACGCCGCGUGAGCGAAGAAGGUUUUCGAAUCGUAAAGCUCUGUCCUAUGAGAAG
rnacentral:rRNA from 1 species